CUACGGGACGCUCCAGUGAGGAAUAUUGCACAAUGGGGGAAACCCUGAUGCAGCAACGCCGCGUGGAGGAUGACGCAUUUCGGUGUGUAAACUCCCUUUAUCAGAGAAGAAAAUGACGGUAUCUGAUGAAUAAGCUCCGGCUAACUCCGUGCCAGCAGCCGCGGUAAUACGGAGGGAGCAAGCGUUAUUCGGAAUCACUGGGCGUAAAGGACGCGUAGGCGGGUUUUUAAGUCAGGUGUGAAAUCCUAUGGCUCAACCAUAGAACUGCACUUGAAACUGGGGACCUAGAGUAUGGAAGGGGCAGGUGGAAUUGGUGGUGUAGGGGUAAAAUCCGUAGAUAUCACUAGGAAUACCGAAAGCGAAGGCGACCUGCUGGGACAUUACUGACGCUGAGGCGUGAAAGCGUGGGGAGCAAACAGGAUUAGAUACCCUCGUAGUC
rnacentral:rRNA from 1 species